rnacentral:lncRNA from 1 species
ACUACUUUAUUGAGGUGUGAUUGACACACAAAAAUCUAUACAUAUUUAACAUAUAUACCUUGAUAGGUUUGCAGAGAAAUAUAUGGCUAUGAAACCAGAACCGCAAUCUAUGCCAUAAAUCUAUCCAUCAUGUUAAGCUUUAUUUUAUGCUUAGUUAGGAUGGGUCUAUUUCUGUUUUCUCCUUAAUUCAAGUGUUAUGUUCUGAUGAAAAGUGAUAUUUGGAGUUUCCAUCAUGGCAAAGCAGAAAGGAAUCUGACUAGGAAUCUUGAGGUUGUGGGUUUGAUCUCUGGCCUUGCUCAUUGAGUUAACGAUCUGGCAUUGCCAUGAACUGUGGUGUAGGUCACAGACGCGGCUGGAAUCUGAUGCUGCUGUGCCUGUGACAUAGGCCAGCAGCUGUAGUUCUGAUUGAACCCCUACCCUGGGAAGCUCCAUGUGCUGCGGGUGCGGCCCUAGAAAGGAAAAAAAAAAAAGGAUGUUCUUAUUCCAACAGAACAUUCUGGUUUUUUGUUUUUGUUUUUUUGUCUUUUGUUUUUUGUCAUUUUAGUUGCUACACCUGCGGCACAUGGAGGUUCCCAGGCUAGAGGUCUAAUCGGAGCUGUAGCUGCUGGCCUACACCACAGCCACAGCAAUGCAGGAUCCGAGCCAUGUCUGCAAACUACACCACAGCUCCCGGCAAUGCCGGAUCGUUAACCCUCUGAGCAAGGCCUGGGAUCAAACCCACAACCUCAUGGUUCCUAGUCGCAUUCGUUUCCGCUGCACCAUUCCGGGUUCUUAAGCGACUUCCCGAGGCUAAGCUAGCAGUGACACCUGUACUGUAUGAGCUUUGGUCAUUUCUUUCAGAUUUGAACUGACCAGCAACUACCCUCUUCUCCAUCUAGUCAAGAAUCACCAUGAACAUGUGAUAACUAGUUCUCAGACUGUUGAAAACAUUUGUACAGAAUUUAGGAGUCCUUUCUUUGUAGAAAGGACUGUAUCACCUUCAUUACCCUGAACAUAUUCUAGCCACUUCAGCAGUUCCAAACUCUGAUUUCUGCCUCAGUAUCUCUACAAACCAGUUGUCAGAUCCAAUGCUGGUUUGAAUGAGGAACUGCCUCUAAUUUUUUUCUUUCAGAAUAUUGGUCAAAAUAGGAAUGCAUAUAAACAAUUUCCUUAAUGCAUUAUAACUAACCUCUAUACUAACAAAGUUUAUCUUUAGAAUUAGAAAAAAAUCAAACAACCAAAACAUGGUAGCAUACUUUUGAACAAAAAUAUAUUUCUAGAAAUAGAUUCAAAUUUUAAAAAUGUUCAAACAAACAAAUAUUGAGAGUUCCCUAUGUGGCUCAGCUGUUAAUGAAACCAACUAGGAUCCAUGAGGAUGCAGGUUCAAUCCCUGGCCUUACAUAGUGGGUUAAAGAUCUGGCAUUGCUGUGAGCUAUAGUGUAGGUCACAGAGGUGGCUUGGAUCCUGCGUUGCUGUGGCUGUGGUGUAGGCCAGCAGCUGUAGUUUCAAUUCCACCCCUAGCCUGGAACCUCUAUAUGCCAUAACAUAAGUGCAGCCCUAAAAAGCAAAAAGCAAAAAAAAAAAAAAACCAAAAAACACACAAAAACCCCCAAAUCCAAAAAACAAACAAAAACCAUAUUUUAAGAGAUUUUUCCAUCAGCAGACCCUCUCUAUAGGAAAUUCUGAGGACAAUGGGAUAUUUAGUCAGGAGGACAAUUUUGCUAGAAUGACAGAGAAAGGACAAAAUGAAAAAAAAGAAAAGGGAGCGAUAUGUGAAUAAAUUUAAAUAAAUGUUGAUGAUAUAAAACAAUACUCAAUGUAUCUUUUGGGAUUUAAGAAAAAAUAAAACUGAAUUAAGAUGAAAAAUAAUCAUUGCAAAUAAGUUGUGGAAGUGAAUGAUGUUAAAAUAUUCUAAGAUCCUAAAUUAUGCAGGAGAAGGAAAAUGAUAUUAGACUUUGAAAUUAAGCAUGCAUAUUUAAAUUUUUACAGUAAUAACUAAACUAUUUGAAAUAGAGCAUAUUCCUUUCCUGAUUGAGGAGGAUUCCUAGUGAAUCUAUUUCAAUGGGCUAUAGCUUCUGCUGCUUCCUGGUUAAGAUAUUUUUUCUGUGUGCUGAGUUACUUUAACUUUGAAAUGAUCAUUUUCCUCAUGAUUCUACUUGUACAAACAGUUAGGGUUUAGGGUGACGGUGGGUCUCUUCAGGGAGAAUGUGUAAAUUCUUCUGCUAUUUGCCAUUGGAAUUACAGGAUAUAUGGACUUAUGUAAAAUGCCAAGAAAAUAAAUAUAUGCCGUAUGUGAAAACUUUAAAAAAUUAUUGAGAGCUAGAAAACACUUGGAAACACAUGUUAUUCAAGGAAUUCAAAACACAGCAUUUUAGUAGGUGUUACUGUAUUUGUAAAGUUAUUUAUGUGUUAUUUGGAUUUUCAUCUGAAUGAGGAUAUUACUUAUUUCCACGCUAAAAUUAGUUUGAAAUUUCCUAAAGCGAUCCCUUGAAACUUUGUUUUGAAUCAUCUUAGCUUUUACAUUUGUGUAACAGUAUUUUUUUUUAUGCUGAGACAAAUAGGAAAUUUAUUCUAUACUUUAUCCCAUUUGUAUGGCGUGUAACAGUAUUUUAAAGGUACAUUAUUUUCUCACAUGUGUAUUGUUUAGUUAAAGACACGUCUACAAAAACAUUUAGACAAUUAUGCUUUCUUCCUCUUAGAAAAUGUGGCCAGAUCUGUGAGGUAGUACAAGGUAAACUUUUACGGUCCAUUCUCUUAAACAUAAAAAUAUCAGUUCUAGAAAACUCUGGGGAGGAUUCAUUAAAUACCGUAAAUUCCUUGACUCAUGCAGUGUCUACAAAAGGGCCUAACAUAUGGAAAGUGCUCAAGAAACAUUUGUGGAAAUAUGAAAAGAAGAAAGGGUCAGAGUAAGUUAUGAAAUGAGAUAAAAUAAAUUGUUUAAUCAAUUAUAGGAUAUUUAAAUUGAAUUAUACUAACCACUCAUUGUAAACUAUAAGGACAGAAAUUUAGCAUUCGAUAUACUCAUUGAAAUAUCUAUAAUCUCCUUGUCUUAUUCAGUUUUGGCUGUAUUACAAAACAGCAUAUACAGUCUGAGUGGCUUAAACAAUGGACAUUUCUCUCUCACAGUUCUGGGAGCUGGGAGGUCCAAGAUCAAAGCACCACCCAGAUUUUGUUCCCGGUGGGAACCCCCUUCCUGGCUUAUGGACGGCCACCCUUUCGUUUUGUCCUCAGGUGGCAGGGAGCACUUUGGUCUCUUUCCUCCUAUUAUAUGGUCACUGAUCCCUUUAUGAGGAAGGUCCCACCCUCAUGGCCUCAUCCAAAAGGAACUACUUCCCAAAGGUUCCAUCUCCAAAUAAAUCACACUGGGGGCGGGGUAGGGCUUCGGCAUCUAAAUUUUGGGGGGCAGAUACAUUCAGUCCAUAAUACUCCUAAUGUUUUAACUGAGUACAAAAUAAUCAUUCUGCUUGGAUAAUGCAGAAAUAUAGAUUAUACAGAAAUAAUCAAACAGAUUUGAUUUCUCUCAAUCCGAAAGAGAUCAUUACUGUAUGAUUCUUCUUACAAUGGUCAUUGUUUUCCAGUGUUUAACUCAAGCCAUACUGGGGACAAUCUUGAAACAAAGGUUUAGCAGAUUUGGAAAUACAUUUUAGAAUAAUUUUAAUAUUGGAAGCAGAAUUUAACAAUAAGAAGUUUUUUAGUUUAAAUGCACCUGUAUCUCUUUCUUAUAUAUAAAAUACUCAUUUCAUAUAAAAAUAUGCAUACCAAAUCACAACUAUUUGCACUGAUACUAUAUACAUAAGUUAACCAAUUAAUGAAAAUUCUAGGGGAGUGAAUAUACUUACUGGUACUAAGACAAAAUAUUAACUCAGGUAGUCAGUGUAGGAACAUGGGCUCUGAUACAUUCUUUGGAUAUGGAUAUUGAUUAACUUUUGUGGCUUAAGGGCUCCAGGGAGUAACACCUCCACAGGCCUCCUUUAUUAUAGGAAAUUUGCAUUCCCCACAGACUGUUUACUGUGGGAAAUGCAAAUCUCUAGGCCACUCCUCAACUGAUAAAAAAGGAAUGAGAGGAAUGGUGACUUAAUCUAAGGAGAAAAGGACAGGGAAACCAUUGAAGACAAUGACAUUGAUAAUACCUAGCAACCAUAAUAACAAUAAUAUUAAUAAGGAAUAUGCAGGAGGAGGAGAACAAGAAGAAUAAAAAUAAGAUUUGCUAACACAGAAUACACACCAAAUGCCAGUUCUAUCUACUACAAACAGAGUAAAUCUUUUCUCUCUCACAAUUCUACGAUGAUAAUAUAUUGUAGCAAAUAGAACGAAAGGUGAUAAAAUUAAGAUAGGUCCAGUUUUGGAAGCAAAGUAAUCAUAAGAACUUCAAUCUUUGUCCUCUUGGACAUGAAGAAUUAAUGAACACUUACAGCUCAUCCAACUCACUAGUAAAUACUUAAAAUAACAUUUAUAUGGAAUUACAAGAAAAUCCAUGCAUGGUUAAGAAUCAUAUUAUCAAGUUAAUAAAGUAUAUUCUCAAUUGAUACUUAAAAAAAAAUUGAACUACCUAAAAUUAAAUCAAUUAGGCAGUUCAUUCUAGGCUUUUCCUACCAAUCUUACAACUGCCCAAGAUGACCAUAAGGUUUCCCUCAGUUUAAUGAAACUUCUAGAAAGGCAUCUUUCAGCCUCUAGGCCCCAGACCCCCUUUCUCUCUCUCCCCCAACCUAACAGAAUCCAGGUGGACGAACUACAGAGAUAUUUUCUUAGGGAAUUUUCUUUAGAACAAUUAUAACGUCCUUCUCUGCCCCUUUGAGAUGUAAAUCUGUUUUAAAAGCCUCUGGUCAAGUUUACCUCCUAGGAUUUUCUCAAGGACCUGGGAGGCACGCCUUUGAAAUGAAAUUAACAAGGAAAUGGGCUCCUAUAGGAAAGCAGGAGCCUAGUGGACUUCAGGGGGCCAGAGCUUCCCCCAAAAUGCAAAACUACCUCCUGUCAUGAAGACAGGAAAAAGUUUACUUUUCAUUUGGGAAGGGCCAGUUAGCACACACAGUUGGCCUUUAUCCCCUGCAUCACAGCUCUUAAAAUUCUCUAGCUUUUUUUUUUCUUUGUUUUUAACGGCUGCUGCUGCUGCGGCAUACGUAAGUUCCCAGGUUCAGAGAUUGAAUCCCAGCUGCCGCUGUAACCUAUGCAUCACUGCCCCAAGGCAGGAUCCUUUAACCCACUGCCUUGGUCAGGGAUUGAACUCUUGCCUCCACAGGGCCUGAGCUACUUGCAGUCUGAUUCUUAACCCACUGCACCUCAGCUAGAAUUCCUUUCUAGCCUUUCGCUUCGGCAGAAUUGAAUUCAGACUGCAUUCUGACCUCUAUACUGCAUUGUAAUAGCAUAGAAUAAACUGUACUUACCAAAACCCAGUACAAUUUUUGCUUUGGUAUAAUUAUCAUCUCAAACUCUGAAGAUAGUAACAUUUUGGGGAAUAAACCUCUAGAUUUAAUUUAAUCCAAAAAAUGUAAAUUUCAACUAUGUAGUCAAUGCCCUUAAGUAGUAGAUUGGUUAUCACCAAACUAGGUCUACUCAAGUUGGCUAAUAAGGGGUUAUGCAAAUAGAAAAUAAACAAUUCAAUAUUUGCUUCUUUAACAACUUGAUGUAUUAAUCUCAAAAAUUACUUUCCAUUUUUAAUUUGCAUGGAACUUUAUAAUCUAAAUCUUGCAUUAAAAUGAUAUUAUAUUAUUCCAACAAGAGUAUUACUAUCAAUAUGCAUGAAAACUUUGCAUUAAUGUUUUUUAAAAAUAUAUAUAUUAAAGAGGAUAUAGCUUAACAAAGCUGAUGACAUUCUAUGCAUAUAAUUCUUAGAUGAGUUCAUAUUUCAAUAUAAUAUUAACAGCCUAUAAUUUUUUCUCUGAAUAUAGAUAACAUUUAAUGGAAGUUGCAAGAAUUAUACAGUUAAAAAUUACAUUGUAUUAAUGAUAGGCAUCCUUCAGAAAAAAAAAAUCUGUAAAACUUAAUGAAGAUAAAUCUA